AGAGUUUGAUCCUGGCUCAGAUUGAACGCUGGCGGCAUGCUUUACACAUGCAAGUCGAGCGGCAGCGCGGGGCAACCUGGCGGCGAGCGGCGAACGGGUGAGGAAUACAUCGGAACGUGUCCCGUAGUGGGGGAUAGCCCGGCGAAAGCCGGAUUAAUACCGCAUAUGCUCUACGGAGGAAAGCCGGGGAUCCGCAAGGACCUGGCGCUAUGGGGGCGGCCGAUGUCCGAUUAGCUAGUUGGUGGGGUAAAGGCCUACCAAGGCGACGAUCGGUAGCUGGUCUGAGAGGAUGAUCAGCCACACUGGGACUGAGACACGGCCCAGACUCCUACGGGAGGCAGCAGUGGGGAAUUUUGGACAAUGGGGGCAACCCUGAUCCAGCCAUGCCGCGUGCGGGAA
rnacentral:rRNA from 1 species